GAUGAACGCUGGCGGCGUGCCUAAUACAUGCAAGUCGAGCGAACAGAUGAGGAGCUUGCUCCUCUGACGUUAGCGGCGGACGGGUGAGUAACACGUGGAUAACCUACCUAUAAGACUGGGAUAACUACGGGAAACCGGAGCUAAUACCGGAUAAUAUAUUGAACCGCAUGGUUCAAUAGUGAAAGACGGUUUUGCUGUCACUUAUAGAUGGAUCCGCGCCGCAUUAGCUAGUUGGUAAGGUAACGGCUUACCAAGGCAACGAUGCGUAGCCGACCUGAGAGGGUGAUCGGCCACACUGGAGCUGAGACACGGUCCAGACUCCUACGGGAGGCAGCAGUAGGGAAUCUUCCGCAAUGGGCGAAAGCCUGACGGAGCAACGCCGCGUGAGUGAUGAAGGUCUUCGGAUCGUAAAACUCUGUUAUUAGGGAAGAACAAAUGUGUAAGUAACUAUGCACGUCUUGACGGUACCUAAUCAGAAAGCCACGGCUAACUACGU
rnacentral:rRNA from 1 species